rnacentral:sRNA from 1 species
NCCGUGGCAGGCACCUGAAGUUCGAGCUACUGGGGAGGCUGAGACUGGAGGAUCACUUGAGCCCUGGAAUCCAAAACCAGCCCGGACAACACAGCAAGUCUCUGUCUCAAAACUGGGGUGGGGGGCUGGGGGUGCUUUUGCUGGGAGGAGCAUCGUGAGUGCAGAUGGGGAGCAUGUUUGGCAACUGCACCCCCAGCCCCCCACCCCAGUUUUGAGACAGAGACUUGCUGUGUUGUCCGGGCUGGUUUUGGAUUCCAGGGCUCAAGUGAUCCUCCAGUCUCAG